rnacentral:lncRNA from 1 species
UGGUUGUCGUUUGUUGAUGCGUUACAUAUUUGUAUUUUGUUCAUUUUUUCUGGUACAUAAAUAAGGUCGUUAGUAUUCUCAUUUUAAUUGUUUUACAUAGGUGAUUUCGGGCCUUUUACAGCAGACUAUGCAAUAUGUGCUUUGCUCAUUGUUGAAGGCCAUGCCAUGACCUAUAGUUGUUAAUUUCUGUGUCAUUUGGUCUCUUGUGAACAGUUGUCUCAUUGGCAAUCAUACCACAUCUUUUUUUUUAUAUAUCAGAUGAAACCUGACAGUGAACCUUGCAAUCAUUUCAUGCACAAAACGAAGUUGACCUAUUGCUAUCUGAGAUACAGACUUCGAUGCUUUUUGUUAA